rnacentral:lncRNA from 1 species
GGACAGGGUUUUGGGGCGUCCAGGGGACACCCUGGCUUGAGCAGGGUCCUCUGCAAGGGCCUGCGCGUCCACCCAGACUCCAGCGCGCUUCGCCCAGAGAGGAAGGAAGGAGCAAAGCUGAGCUGAGAGCGGCGGGAAGGUGGAUAGAGGGACGCGCGCGGCUCCCUCCCGCCGCCAGCCUUGGCCCGCGGGGUCUUCUGCGCCUCUAAGCACGCCCUAAACCUUGGAGGGCUUCACCUGCGGCCUGAGCGCCCGGAGCCCAGCGCCGAGCGCCUCCCGCCCGCAGCCAGAAUCUAACAGCGACAGCGUAGACAGCACGCCAGUGAAAACCAAAGCGGUAAAUCCAGGCCACGGAGACGCUGUUCCGGGUUCCGCGCAGUGGGCUUGGCGGAGACCCGCGCGCCCCUCCCGCUAGGCCGGUGCGGAGGCCCGAGCCCCGCGAUUCCCGCCCGCGACUGGCCGUCCCAGGCCGCGCCGUCGCCGACGCCUCUGGAGCUCCGGGGCGUUUCCACGCGCCGCAGACGCACGUCACAGAAACUAAAGCCCAAAGGUGUGGGUGCUGCAGCCCGCACGCACGCAGGCCCAGGGCGGACCCCGGGUUCCCGCUCCCCGAGCCAUUUCCCGGCUUGGCCGUAGCAUAGAUGCACCUCACUCGGGAGGAAGCUAAGUCCCUCAGACUCCGAUUUCAGGUAGGCGGCCACCGGCCUCCUCACCCGGUAACCAGCUACCAGGCGAUCGGUAACGCCCUGCAGGUCUCCCACCCGGGGCGUCUUUGCCUCGGAUCACGACCUCUGGGGCUGACCCCUCCCCAGGGACGUCGAGAUGAAGGCACGGCGGCGCGGAGGCCUCCGAGCUCCGAAAGUGCUUGGACCCCUCCUAAGUUCCGCCCUGGGGGCCCCUCCCCUCCCUCAGCCCCCACCCCCACCCCCGUUCCACCGCCCUUUGGUCCCCCUGCCGCCCCGGUGCGGAGGGGACACUUGGCUCACCCUAGGGACCGGCCAGGGCCCCCCACUCGCGCGCUGGCUGGAGGGGG